GAUCAUGGCUCAGGACGAACGCUGGCGGCGUGCUUAACACAUGCAAGUCGAACGAGAAUCUACUGAAAGAGUUUUCGGACGAUGGAAGUAGAGGAAAGUGGCGGACGGGUGAGUAACGCGUGAGGAACCUGCCUUGAAGAGGGGGACAACAGUUGGAAACGACUGCUAAUACCGCAUGAAGCAUAGGGGUCGCAUGAUUCUUAUGCCAAAGAUUUAUCGCUUCAAGAUGGCCUCGCGU
rnacentral:rRNA from 1 species